AGAACGAACGCUGGCGGCAUGCCUAACACAUGCAAGUCGAACGUGAUCCAUGACUUCGGUUGUGGUGAAAGUGGCAAACGGGUGAGUAACGCGUGGGAAUCUGCCCAGAGGUAGGGAAUAACCGCGGGAAACUGCGGCUAAUACCCUAUGUGCCCUACGGGGCAAAGAUUUAUCGCCUUUGGAGGAGCCCGCGUCGGAUUAGGUAGUUGGUAGGGUAACGGCCUACCAAGCCUACGAUCCGUAGCUGGUCUGAGAGGAUGAUCAGCCACACUGGGACUGAGAUACGGCCCAGACUCCUACGGGAGGCAGCAGUGGGGAAUAUUGGACAAUGGGGGCAACCCUGAUCCAGCAAUGCCGCGUGAGUGAUGAAGGCCUUCGGGUUGUAAAGCUCUUUCGGCGGGGAAGAUGAUGACGGUACCGCAGAAGAACGCCCGGCUAACUUCGCGCCAGCAGCCGC
rnacentral:rRNA from 1 species